AUUGAACGCUGGCGGCAUGCCUAAUACAUGCAAGUCGAACGGCAGCGUGGGCAUCGUCCUGGCCUCGAGUGGCGAACGGGCGAGUAAUGAACCGGAACGUGCCCAGCCUUGGAGGAUAGGCUGGCGAAGGGAGGACUAAGAUCGUACAGGACCAGAGGGUGAAACGGGGGGAUCGAAAGUGCACGCGGGAUUUGAUGUGCCGAAGUGGUGGAACCGUGCCGGAUUGGCUAGUUGGUAAGAUAACGGCUAACCAAGGCAACGAUGCGUAGACGACCUGCGAGGGCGACCAGCCACACUGGGACUGAGACACGGCCCAGACUCCUACGGGAGGCAGCAGUAGGGAAUUUUCCGCAAUGGGCGCAAGCCUGACCCAGCAAUGCCGCGUGCGGGAAGAAGGCCUUCGGGUUGUAAAACGCUUUUAUUAGGGAAGAACAAAUGUGUACUAAUCCCCCGGCGUCUUGACGGUACCGAAUCAGAAAGCCCCGGCUAACUACGUG
rnacentral:rRNA from 1 species